CUUUGGAGUUUUACAGCGAGCCCAGGACAAGGUUUUCAGUGAAUGAGCUAUACUUGUGCUUUCCAGAAGAGAAAUUGAAUCAACACGUGGAGUUGCUUCUAUGAAGAUCAUAGAUGGAUAAACUGCCUUGGCAACCAGAUUUUCAUCCAUUUCAUUUAAGUUCUCUGUGGUCACUUGAAGUUUUGUGCAGAAUCAGAGUCAAACUCCUACUUUUGAAUCUGCUGAAGAAAGGUGUGCUUAUGGUUCUUUAUUUGAAGAGCGUAUGGAUGUGAUAUGAUUAAGUUUCAUUAGUAGCAACAAUGUGAAGAGACUGAUUAAAUGUAUGUGAUUCUGUGAGACCAGUGAGAAUAAAAGAUAUAAUGAAGAUGA